UAUAUGUUUAUGUACUGUGCAUUAGGUGUGUAUGCACAUCUAUAUGUACAUGUACUCAU
rnacentral:miRNA from 1 species